CACCUUUGUACCUCACUUUUCAGGUCAUAACAGCAUGAGCCAUCCUCCACAACAUCUGCCUUGGUGCUGGGGAUGUCAUGGCCCCAGAGGAUGACCCAGAGGAGGCUGUAGAAGAGGAUGAGGGUGAGGUCGGGACUGAGACAGUCAGCGUUGUUCUCUGGCAGGACCAGCUUUCAGCUGAGGUGUCUGCCCUGGAGGAGUGAUGCGGCAGCCGUCAAUUCAGCCAGCCCUUUAAACCCACUUGAUGGACGAUGACGAUGACAGUGGAGAGAGACAUCACAAACAUCUACAGACCACCUGUGUGAUGCUUCGCUCACCAUCCAGAAAGACAAACCAAAGGUCUCAGUUGCAGCAUCCAUCCAUGUCUCUGACCUUGUGAAAGAUUUAGCCACAUCUCCAGAGACUUUCUGUUCA